AUGGAUGAUAUAGCAGUUCCAAUUGCGUCCACGUCGGGCGAAGAUUCAGUAAUCUCGUUUCAGCACCCAUGGACAUUAAAGACAAAUCGAGGACGAGACAAUUUUGUUAAAUGUAUCACGACCGUUUUCCACGUCAUACAAGCAUGUGCAGUUUACAUGGGCUCUGCGGUUGACCGAUGAGUAUGUGCUCUCAAAUAAUGCAGCCGUCGACUCGAAUCGCCACGUGCUCCUGCACCUUUACUACAAAGAGGGUCCAUGCCCGGAGGUGGCCGUCGAGGAGGUCAGAGCACAGAUCCUUGAUCCAGUCACCAAUGAGACCUUGUUCGCCGGUCUGGCGUUGUCGCCGACCGAGUUUUCGCGGGGAAGCGGUUGGCCGAUCCAUAUGGAGAAGGAGCGACGGGCAGAGUUUACCGAGUUGGUGCACAAGAAGGUGGAUUCGAAUUUGUUGGUCGUGGUUGAGAUCAAGAUGAAGGAGUCGCUGUUCGAGCCAUUGAACUAUCUGCCGGAUGUUGAGACGGCGUUUAGGAGCCAGAGAAUCGAGAAGGCGGUGAACAAGUUUGUUGAUGAUGUUAUCAAUGGAAAGAUUCGGAUUCCUGAUUUGGAGCACGUCGAUGAAAAGCAGGCUGACAAAUUCUCGGUUCACCGGCUGAUUUUCAUUUAUGGCGUCGACUCGGUAUCGCGCGAGAUAUCGGACAACGAGCAACAAAGCGAAAUCUGUGAGCAACUCGUGAGAAAUACCUUUGCUCACAUCUACUUCGAACGGGUGCUCUCCCGAGAAAUCACGUACUUUGAUGAUUUUGUCACCCUCGUCGAGGGUCUCACCUUUGCUCAUCUCCCAGCUCUUCGGAAGGAAGUAGAACGAUUUAUUUGCCAAAAAGUUAUCGAGAUUCAGGCUGAUAUGGAUCCAUCGUUCGCUAAAAAGCUACUACUGGUUUCUGAGAAGUACAACUUGGAGAUUUUGAAGAUGGUGAUCAACGGGUUCCUUGUCGAUCAAAUCAUUGGAAACUCGAACCCGCCAAAAGAGCUCGUCAACAUUACACAUGAGCUCCAACAGAUGGCCCAUGAGAUCCGCGAAAACGAGAAUAUCGAGAAUCUUGUCGGAGCAGUCGUAACAGAUCUUCAGGAGCUCACACGUCGAGUCCGUCGGGUAUCGCUCUCCCACAGUCCAUCACAAUCGUCCCAUAGCAGCUCUCCCCUCGCUACCCCAACAAAUGGAAGUGGUUCUCCAUCGGUUCCGGCUCCAUUCGACUCCCCGACAAGCCGCUUCAAACGAGUUUCCCUGGCCUAA
rnacentral:misc_RNA from 1 species